AUUGAACGCUGGCGGCAUGCCUUACACAUGCAAGUCGAACGGCAGCACGGGAGCAAUCCUGGUGGCGAGUGGCGAACGGGUGAGUAAUGUAUCGGAACGUACCUUUCAGUGGGGGAUAACGUAGCGAAAGUUACGCUAAUACCGCAUAUUCUGUGAGCAGGAAAGCAGGGGAUCGCAAGACCUUGCGCUGAUUGAGCGGCCGAUAUCAGAUUAGCUAGUUGGUGAGGUAAAGGCUCACCAAGGCGACGAUCUGCAGCGGGUCUGAGAGGAUGAUCCGCCACACUGGAACUGAGACACGGUCCAGACUCCUACGGGAGGCAGCAGUGGGGAAUUUUGGACAAUGGGCGCAAGCCUGAGUCCAGCCAUGCCGCGUGAGUGAAGAAGGCCUCGG
rnacentral:rRNA from 1 species